rnacentral:rRNA from 1 species
GUGGGGAAUCUUGCACAAUGGGCGGAAGCCUGAUGCAGCGACGCCGCGUGCGGGACGAAGGCCUUCGGGCUGUAAACCGCUUUCAGCAGGGACGAGGCGAAAGUGACGGUACCUGCAGAAGAAGCCCCGGCUAACUACGUGCCAGCAGCCGCGGUAAUACGUAGGGGGCAAGCGUUAUCCGGAUUCAUUGGGCGUAAAGCGCGCGUAGGCGGCCAGCCUGGUCGGGAGUCAAAUCCGGGGGCUCAACCACCGUCCGCUCCCGAUACCGGCCGGCUUGAGUCUGGCAGGGGAAGGCGGAAUUCCCGGUGUAGCGGUGGAAUGCGCAGAUAUCGGGAAGAACACCGGUGGCGAAGGCGGCCUUCUGGGCCACGACUGACGCUGAGGCGCGAAAGCUAGGGGAGCGAACAGGAUUAGAAACCCUGGUAGUCC